AUGUUUUCAUUGGAUUGUUUGUACCAAAUAUUUUAAAGGUCCAGUGUGUAAGAUUUAGGUGAAAGGGAACUAUUGGCAGAAAUUUAAUGUAGAAUAAUCCUCAUGAUGUUUUCACUAGUUCAUUUCAUCUAAAUUGUAUGAAUUGUAGUUUUCUUUACCCCAGAAAAGGCCCUUUAUAUUUAAAUACUUUAUAUUUACAUGUAGGGGGGUCCUCUCUAAGGAGGCCACCAUGUUUUUUACAUUAGUCCAGA
rnacentral:misc_RNA from 1 species